AUUGAACGCUGGCGGCGUGCUUAACACAUGCAAGUCGAUCGGUAACAGGUGUAGCAAUACAUGCUGACGAGAGGCGGACGGGUGAGUAAUGCUUGGGAAUCUGCCUAUUAGUGGGGGACAACCCGGGGAAACUCGGGCUAAUACCGCAUACGCUCUACGGAGGAAAGCCGGGGACCGCAAGGCCUGGCGCUAAUAGAUGAGCCCAAGUCGGAUUAGCUAGUUGGUAGGGUAACGGCCUACCAAGGCGACAAUCCGUAGCUGGUCUGAGAGGACGACCAGCCACACCGGAACUGAGACACGGUCCGGACUCCUACGGGAGGCAGCAGUGGGGAAUAUUGGACAAUGGGGGCAACCCUGAUCCAGCGACGCCGCGUGGGUGAAGAAGGCCUGCGGGUUGUAAAGCCCUUUCGGUGGGGAAGAAAAGUCUCGACCUAAUACGUCGGGACCUUGACGUAACCCACUAAAGAAGCACCGGCUAACUCUGUGCCAGCAGCCGCAGUAAC
rnacentral:rRNA from 1 species